UGCAGAGCUGCCUGGUGACAGGGCUGGUCUGCAAGAGCAGGGAUUUCUCUGGAGCUGGGAGGGGCUGGGAUUGCUUUGUGGGGACCAGGCUGAGCUCUCCUGGCACCAAGCUCCCUGUUCCGGUCCAGUGCUCACCCUCUGCUCUGCCUGCUUCAUCGUGCGAAUGAGGUCUUGACUACAGAGAUGUGCAUUUCCAUCUCUUCCUCGUUGUAAAGGACAGAGGAAAAAUGUCUGCAGAAGAGCAAAGUGCAUGAUCUCGUUAGGACAAAAUGGUAUAAACUAUUGCUUGGAGGAAAGAAGCUGGCACUGUGAGUGAACUCACCACACAAAAAGUAUGGAAAUAGAUCCCCUUCAUCACGUAUUUGUUCCCAGUGAUGCCGAGGUCCACGUCCACCCGGCCACAGAACACACAUGCUGGCUCUCCUGAGCUGGCAGCCUUCUGUGUCCCGUCGGCCAUCGUGUGCUUCAACAGUGAGCACUCGCAGAGUGUCUAUCCCAGCAAUACCAGGCUUCGUCCUCUGCGUGCCAACCUAUGGAGAAGCGGGACAAGGCUGAGUUGGCAGCUCAGGCCCCGAGUGAUGGGGAAACCGGCCUCUGUCAGCAGCCUCAGGCAGCCCCUUCCUCCCCUGCUCACCUCACAAGUCACACUGAGCUCGGACUGAGCCCCGCAGCCUCUUGUCUAUUCCUCAGCCCAUGUGUCACAAUGGGGGUUCCACCCCCCUGUGGAACCAACAUACCCUCACAGGGCUGAGGGCACCCAAGCAGCGGGAAGGCAGCCUUUGCAGCAGCGCACAGUGAGGGGCCCGGUGCCGGACACAGCCCUGCUGGAACCCGGCGUGUUGGUGCUGCCGAAGGCACUGGGCGGCACACAUCCACCAUCCUGGCCCCACCCUGACGCUACGGGGCCUGUGGCUCCAGCAGUUUCCCAGUUGAGCAUUUACAUGUUGCCGUGAUGUUCUCCAGGCUCUGCUUGUGGGCUGUUGGCCUCUGAUAGUUUACCUUCUCUUUCCAAUAAACGACUCACAGAAUCACA
rnacentral:lncRNA from 1 species